ACGCCGCACUCACUGUCUGGCUACUUCCCUUCCCUGUUCACCAAGCCCCUCACGCACGCCAGCAUGCUUUCUGUCUCCAUGGAUUUACCUGUCCUGGACAUUUCUCAUAAAUGGAGCCACGUCAUAACCGACCCUUUGUGACUGGCUCCCUUCACUUAGCGCACAGUUUUCAAGGCUCAUCCGUGUCCUGGCGCGGCAGGGCGUCAUUGCUGUUUAUGACUGAAUGAUACUCAGCAGCACAUCUCUUCCACAUUUUGUAUUUACUCAUCUGUUGAUGGACACUUGAGCUGUUGCCAUCUGUGAGCUAAAGUUGUUUUUUCACAUUCUGGUGCACAAAAGUUUUUUGGUUUGUUAUUGUUUUUCUGGGUUUUUUGAGAUGGGGUCUCACUAUGGUCCUCACUAUGGUCUUGGACUACUGGACUCAAGUGAUCCUCCUUUCUGAGCUUCCCAAAUAGCUGGAACUACAGGAAUGCAUCACUGUGCCCAGCAAAAGUUUUUAAUUUUGGAAAAAGGCUGCUGGCCCCUCCCCUAGAAUCUGAAUUAAGAGACGGAGGCAACUCGGUGUCUGGACCUUGAAGACAACGUGUGAGCCUGUCUUGGCCUGGAUCCUAGACCAGAAGAAGACAUGGCUGGAACUGCACUGAAGGGGACCUGCAGAUGGGACAGUAGAGUCACCGUGUCACUUCCUUGAUUCUCAUCAUUGCACUGUGGUUCUGCAAGGGAGACAUAUGGGGAAUUGUACUAUUUUUGCAACUUUUUUGAAAGCCUGAAAUUGUUUUGAAAAAAACAGAUACAUUUGGGGGAGGAAAAAAAAAAAAACAUGGGGCAGGCGUAGUGGCUCAUGCCUGUAAUCCCAGCAACUCAGAAGGCUGAGGCAGGAGGAUGACAAAUUUGAGGCCAGCCUUGGCUACUUAGUGAGACCCUUUCUCAAAAUAAAAGGGGCUGUGGAUGUAGCUCAGUGGAAGAAUGCCCCUGGGGAGGGCCUGGGGAGGGUGGCUUUUAGGUGGGGUGGAAUUGGGAAAGGAGCACUUAGACAGAUGGUCACUUCCCCAGAGGGCCUGAGGGUGAGCUGGGGAUGCAUGCAGCAGUCCAAAGAAUGCAGGCUUUGGCAAGGACAUGGAGUGAACAAGGACGGGGUGGCUGUGCGGUAGAAGGUUAGUCUCCAGGGGCUGCCUACCAUAAAGCCUAAAGCCUCAGUGAACUCACUAACCUCAUGAAAUAAGUGCCAAUAGAUUUCCUGUGUAGGAAGCGAAGGGUCCAAAGUCAGGCUAACUGGCAGGAGGGCAAACAGUGGACCCACCUGGAUGCAGGAGCAGAUAAGGACCCUAAGGAAGUAAGGCUGGCCCUUUUCAGGGUGGCCCAGGCUGAGCCACAAGACCAGAGCCAAGUUCACCUAAAUUGCCACAGGCCAGAGGCCCCAAGAGUGAGUUGCCCUCUCAGGGGUGACCCCUGUCUACUCCCUUGCCCCCAGCCUGAUGACCAACAGGGUCUCUGAUGCUGGCCCCUCCAAGCCCAGCAGUGCCAUGGUCACACUGCCACUCCUGUGCUUGGGCUUUUACCAACCUCAGGGCUGCUAACCAGAGCUGGGAGGGCCACUGGCUGGGCAGUAAGCAGCAUGCUCCAUGAGUAGACUGGGCACAUUAGUAACUAAGAAGAGCAGAAAGUUCCUGCCGCAGCAGAAGUACCUUUAAGCAAGAGAAGUUGCGAGGAGGCCCGAGGAUCCUUCUCAGGAAAAUGGUGCAGUCAGAGAGGACAGCCAUGAGCACGCUCCAGAGGGCCUGACUGGCCAGGGGCCAUCCGUGUGGGAUGGCAGGAAGGCCUCUGCCCAGUUCCCAUGGUCACUCCCAGCCCAGGACUCAGUGCAGCAGGGACACCAGGCAGACCAGGCGGCCAGCGGGAACAGAGUCCCUUGCUGCUUGACCAAACCUGCCUGUGACUACCCAUCUGUCUAGAGAUUCCACAGGACCUUCUCUCCUCGUCUUCACCCAGGUCAAACUUGUUUUGCUGACUGGCUUCUAGCCUCCCCAGCCCUCCCCAUUUUCUCUCACACAGGCAUGACCAUGACGCACAUUAUCAGCACAUCUCAAACACGCAGAGGAAAUUCCUUACUUUAAUUCCAUCCGGGUCUCUGCUAUUUAGAGUGAUCUCCCCUGGAGUGACUCGCCCAGUUCUGCUCUACUCUAAGGUUCCUCUAAGAUAACCAAUCCCCUGCCCCACGGUCUCCCAGAAGGAGGGGACAGGAUAUGCAGCAAGGCCUUUUAAUUUUCCAUAAUUUUAAUAUGUUUCUUUUUAUUAAAAUUAAAUCUUUU